UACAGAGGUCUCAAGCGUUGUUCGGAUUCAUUGGGCGUAAAGGGGGCGUAGGCGGCGCGGUAAGUCGGGUGUGAAAUUUCGAGGCUUAACUUCGAAACUGCAUUCGAUACUGCCGUGCUUGAGGACUGGAGAGGAGACUGGAAUUUACGGUGUAGCGGUGAAAUGCGUAGAUAUCGUAAGGAAGACCAGUGGCGAAGGCGGGUCUCUGGACAGUUCCUGACGCUGAGGCACGAAGGCCAGGGGAGCAAACGGG
rnacentral:rRNA from 1 species